UGCAAGUCGCACGGAGCUUCGGCUCAGUGGCGGACGGGUGAGUAACACGUAGGAACCUGCCCGGAAGUGGGGGAUAACUCCUCGAAAGAGGAGCUAAUACCGCAUGUGGUCUACGGACCAAAGCAGCAAUGCGCUUCUGGAGGGGCCUGCGGUGGAUUAGCUAGUUGGUGUGGUAAAGGCUCACCAAGGCAUCGAUCAGUAGCUGGUCUGAGAGGAUGAUCAGCCACACUGGGACUGAGACACGGCCCAGACUCC
rnacentral:rRNA from 1 species